rnacentral:misc_RNA from 1 species
UCAUAUAUUAUACUUGAUAUUGGUAGUAAUACCACAUCACAUAAUCACACUACAAAAACACAUAUAUAUGUAUAUAUAUUUGCACCCCCAGUUGCCUGGAGAGCACAUAUGUGAUGCACACAAAAAUAUGCACACCAACACGAUUCGUUAAUGAUCCUUCCGCAGGUUCACCUACGGAAA